UGCAGUCGUACGCUUCUUUUUCCACCGGAGCUUGCUCCACCGGAAAAAGAAGAGUGGCGAACGGGUGAGUAACACGUGGGUAACCUGCCCAUCAGAAGGGGAUAACACUUGGAAACAGGUGCUAAUACCGUAUAACAAUCGAAACCGCAUGGUUUUGAUUUGAAAGGCGCUUUCGGGUGUCGCUGAUGGAUGGACCCGCGGUGCAUUAGCUAGUUGGUGAGGUAACGGCUCACCAAGGCCACGAUGCAUAGCCGACCUGAGAGGGUGAUCGGCCACAUUGGGACUGAGACACGGCCCAAACUCCUACGGGAGGCAGCAGUAGGGAAUCUUCGGCAAUGGACGAAAGUCUGACCGAGCAACGCCGCGUGAGUGAAGAAGGUUUUCGGAUCGUAAAACUCUGUUGUUAGAGAAGAACAAGGAUGAGAGUAACUGUUCAUCCCUUGACGGUAUCUAACCAGAAAGCCACGGCUAACUACGUGCCAGCAGCCGCGGUAAUACGUAGGUGGCAAGCGUUGUCCGGAUUUAUUGGGCGUAAAGCGAGCGCAGGCGGUUUCUUAAGUCUGAUGUGAAAGCCCCCGGCUCAACCGGGGAGGGUCAUUGGAAACUGGGAGACUUGAGUGCAGAAGAGGAGAGUGGAAUUCCAUGUGUAGCGGUGAAAUGCGUAGAUAUAUGGAGGAACACCAGUGGCGAAGGCGGCUCUCUGGUCUGUAACUGACGCUGAGGCUCGAAAGCGUGGGGAGCAAACAGGAUUAGAUACCCUGGUAGUCCACGCCGUAAACGAUGAGUGCUAAGUGUUGGAGGGUUUCCGCCCUUCAGUGCUGCAGCUAACGCAUUAAGCACUCCGCCUGGGGAGUACGACCGCAAGGUUGAAACUCAAAGGAAUUGACGGGGGCCCGCACAAGCGGUGGAGCAUGUGGUUUAAUUCGAAGCAACGCGAAGAACCUUACCAGGUCUUGACAUCCUUUGACCACUCUAGAGAUAGAGCUUCCCC
rnacentral:rRNA from 1 species